UUUCUGCUUAUAGUUCUUAAAGAAAACAAAAGAAUCAUAGAAUUUAUCGCAUGAAUUUGAUAUUAUCAAAGGAGAUUCUGGAUCCCUGCACCAUCUUAAUAUAUCCUAACUUCGAUUCUCUAUUUAUUGAUUUAUUUUCUAUUUGCAAAACAUCAUCUUAAUCCACAAGUUUAUUGUAUUUAUUAAAUCUGAAAUUACGCUAAUAAUCCAUAUUUCGUUCCCUGAGGAAUCGACCUCGGACUCCCGAGUUAUACUGCUUGUGCGAUUCUCCUGCACUUGGGAGAACAGUUUUUCAAAAGCACCAGCUCUCUUUUACCGUCGUGCCUUUCUUCAUUUGAAAUUAAGUGACUCUAAUUACAAGCAUUGUCCAUCUGAAGAGGAGUGGGGUAAAGUUGAGAAGAUUAGCAGGUUGUUGAGUGUAUUCUAUGAUGCUACUUUAGUAUUCUCCGGAGCUAAAUAUCCUACAUCAAACCUAUAUUUUUCUCAAGUUUUCUUGAUUGAGCUUACUCUAAGGCAAGAGAUGCAGAGUGCAGAUGCUUUCAUACAAAGAAUGACACGGCAGAUGUAUCAAAAAUUUGAAAAGUAUUGGUCGGAUCAUAGCUUAAUCUUGUCCAUGGCAGUUAUUUUGGAUCCUCGGUACAAAUUUCAGUUUGUGGAGUAUUGUUAUAAGAAGUUGAAUGGGUAUGGUUCUACUGAGAGCAUGCACAUCCGUGAUUGUAUGUUUUCUCUCUUUAAUCAGUAUAUGCUUGCUUCUUCUAAAACUCCAACUACUAUCACAUCAACUCAUGGAGAUAUGGAGACCGAUACUUCUUCUAAAACUUCUGAGGCAUUUAGAAAAGCAGAUGCUUUUAAGGAUUUUGAUACAUUUGAAAGCUUUGAUUUUGUGACUACUGCACAGAAGUCUCAAUUGGAACUAUAUUUGGAUGAGCCUAGAGUUGAUAGGAUGUCCAAUUUGGAUAUCUUUGAUUUUUGGAAAACCAAGCAGUCUCAUUAUCCUCAACUUUCUCUUAUGGCACGUGAUAUUCUAACUAUUCCAAUAUCUACAGUCGCCUCUGAAUCUGCUUUUAGUAUCGGUGGGUGAGUACUUGAUAAGUAUCGUAGUUCUCUUAAACCGGAUAUUGCCGAGGCCUUGAUUUGUACUCGAGAUUGGGUGUUCGAAAAGAAAGAUGUUGAGGAGGCCGAGUUAGAUGAGACUGUAGAAGAUAUCAUAAACUCAAGUUCCUACAAUGAAACUCAAUCAACUCAAUGCUCGGCCAAUGUUGAACCUAAUUCAUAGUGAGAUGAAUCAUGAUCAUGGAAACUCCUUUUUGGUUUUGGUUUAGAUAUGGAUGUUGUUAGUGUUUCUUUCUUUUUUUAGUUUUGCUUUGACUAUGGAUGGUGUCAUUGGACUUAUGGAGUUAUGGACCUUAUGAUGGUGGUUAUACAAUAUUAAGUUGAUAUUUAUAGCUAUUUGGUAGUUUCUUAUUCAAUAUAUGAAUCCUUUAUAGAAACUAUGAAUCUUGUUGUUUUCAUCUAUCUCAUUCUUAUGUUAUAAUGAGACAGGUUCAUUCUUAUGUUAUUCAAUAUAGUUAUUUGGUAGCUAUUCUUAUGUCCCACUUGGUUCCUCAUCCUGUCUGGAUGUAUAUAAGGUAACCAUUCAUGUAGCUAUAAAUGAAUGGAGAUCUAAUCAUUUAGCUUGAGACUAGAUUCCACUGGGUUCCUCAUCCUGUUUGGUUUAUCUAUUUAGCUUGAAAUCUGAUUAUUUAGACGUUCAGGCGAACUCUCCCAGUGUUGGCGUGACUCAUUUGUGCCCGAUAUGAACUUAAAUUGUGAUCUGAAGUUGGUGCAGGCAACUGGUACUUGAUCUGUUCGAUCACAUAACUUUUGUCCUCUUAUAUUGAGUAAGUUACGGAGUGAUGUUUUGAGGGAAGCAAUUUCUCUCAGAUUGCAAAUGAUUCUAGGGAGAAGAAGCGCAAUUUUACUGAAACCAUUGAGCUACAAAUUGGUCUGAAAAACUAUAACCCCCAAAAAGAUAAGCAUUUCAGUGGAUCUUAUGUUUACCUAAUGUGAUUUUUAAUGGCAAACAUCAAACAAAUAACUUGUCUAAUGCAUUUAUAUUCAGGGCCUGGUUGUUCUUCUAUUGGCAAUUGGAGCUGAUGCUUAGGGCUACACAGCAAUAUAAAUUUAAUUGGAGAUAUAUCGAUGCGCGACCUUUUAGUUGUUUAUGACAAUGUUAAGCAGCGGAUUGGAUGGGCCAGCGCAGAGCCGCAGACUGUAGCAGGGCUUUCAAGUCUGUAACUUACCCGUUGGAAUGAUUUGAGUCCUUCUUGAAAGGGUUGACAAUAAGACGAAGACAUGACCAUCCAUUGUCUCUGACUCGAUGUUUGCAUGCAUACAUGCAGAACUUAGAAUGAAACCUUUCUUACUCUACCAUCCGAUGAUGUAAUAUUAAAUACAUCAAAAUUCUCAUCUUUUCUCUGUGAGUAUUUUGUUGCUGUGCUAUCUUUACACUGUAAGCUCUUUGAAUAAGGGAAUGGGAGCAGCGCUUUGCAUUGUGCGCUGAACAUAAAAACAUGGCCUCUUUUUGUACAAACUGUAAGGAAUGGGAUCUGUUUUCUUGAUUUUUGUAAU